rnacentral:hammerhead_ribozyme from 1 species
AUCCAGCUGACUAAUCCAAAUAGGACGAAAUGCAUGUCCUGGAU